rnacentral:rRNA from 1 species
CGGAGGAAGGUGGGGAGGACGUCAAAUCAUCAUGCCCCUUAUGACCUGGGCUACACACGUGCUACAAUGGACAGAACAAAGGGCAGCGAAACCGCGAGGUUAAGCCAAUCCCACAAAUCUGUUCUCAGUUCGGAUCGCAGUCUGCAACUCGACUGCGUGAAGCUGGAAUCGCUAGUAAUCGCGGAUCAGCAUGCCGCGGUGAAUACGUUCCCGGGCCUUGUACACACCGCCCGUCACACCACGAGAGUUUGUAACACC